rnacentral:rRNA from 2 species
GACCGAUAGUGAACCAGUACCGUGAGGGAAAGGCGAAAAGAACCCCGGCGAGGGGAGUGAAAAAGAACCUGAAACCGUGUACGUACAAGCAGUGGGAGCCCCACCACCAAAGCAUUAUCUGGUGUUGAAGGCCCUGCAAAGCAGCAUCGCGGUGGCGGAGCGUCGUUUGCGACGCCCAACACACAAAACAAGCGGUGAAUGCUUUGGGGUGGGGUGACUGCGUACCUUUUGUAUAAUGGGUCAGCGACUUAUAUUCUGUAGCAAGGUUAACCGAAUAGGGGAGCCGGAGGGAAACCGAGUCUUAAUUGGGCG